UGCGUAGGCUGCUUCGUAAGUCGUGUGUGAAAGGCGCGGGCUCAACCCGCGGACGGCACAUGAUACUGCGAGACUAGAGUAAUGGAGGGGGAACCGGAAUUCUCGGUGUAGCAGUGAAAUGCGUAGAUAUCGAGAGGAACACUCGUGGCGAAGGCGGGUUCCUGGACAUUAACUGACGCUGAGGCACGAAGGCCAGGGGAGGCAAAG
rnacentral:rRNA from 1 species